rnacentral:tRNA from 1 species
GCCGAGGUGGUGAAAUUGGUAGACACGUUGGAUUCAAAAUCCAAUGCCCCUUGGGGCGUGAGAGUUCGAGUCUCUCUCUCGGUA